rnacentral:tRNA from 1 species
GCCUCCUUAGCUCAGUGGUAAGAGUACUUGUCUAAUAAACCAGGGGUCCAGAGUUCGAAUCUCUGAAGUGGCU